ensembl:lncRNA
CAAGAAGCUGUUGAGGCCUCAAUUAUUCGGUCGAAGCACAGGAACAGGGAGACAUUUUAGACGAGAGAACACAUAGUCAUGAAGGAUCCACGGGGGAUCGCAAAGACCUGCCUCCCAGUGGACGCCCCGGGAGUUUGGCCGGCUUCCCCUGAUCAGGCUAAGGCUGCCUGUGGUGACGCACUGCUGAGCACUUCCGUGGGGCUUUGCUGUCCCUGCAUGAGGAGCAAACCCUGAGGUCCUGUGCUGGGCAGUUUACCGCUGAAGUCUGCUCAGUGUGACGGUAAAUAACAGCCCCUUUCCGAGUCCACAGCACACUGAAAAGGAAAAGUGUUCCAGCCAAACGAAAUGAAAAUUGAAAGCGGUCUGCAUACACAAUGUAAAAAGAAUGGUUACAUAAAUCAUAGCGCAGAAAGAAAACUAUCCACAAUGAACACAGAAAUGCCAGGAAAAAGCUGAAAGCAAAAUGAAGAGCACCUCAGACCAGAGAAAAACCAGCCAGUCUCACCCUGGGUGGCCAAAGCAGCAACAUGAAAAUCUUUGUGUCUGCUACCACAUAGACAGAAGCUGAAGUCAUCAGUCUAUAAGAGCAGAGAGAAGAACCCGACCGAGAGAGGAAAGUAGACACAAAAUCUGUAGACACACAACACUGGUGAGACUUCCAGGUUCUGCUGCCAGUUGUUCCUGAUCCCACCGGUCCCCUUAUAAAGCAGCACGAAAACAAAAAUUGGUUCUCCUAGCUGAAGCAGUCUAGCAGCUCUCACCCAGGCCCUGCCCUGCUUUCCCAUAACUACUGACCUCCCCCUGGUACUGAUAAGGUAGCGGUCAUACUAAGUUUUGUAGAACUAAGGAACCAUAUGCUCUGUAAACAGCUAUGUUCUGUAAACAGUGUAUGAUCUCUAUUCCCAUAUGAUUCCUAAGACACUGUUUUCUUACAAGGCUAAAUUACUGACCAUCUGCCCCUGUCCUGUUCCAGUAAACUCACUCACUGCGUCACCAGAAAGACCACCCCCUUCAACUAAAUAUAUAAAAACUGGAGCUUUCCGGGGCCGGGGAUUUAGCUCAGUGGUUCUGCCACCUGCUUCGCAAGUGCAAGGACCUGAGUUUGAUCCCCGGUACCAAAAAAUAAAUAAAUAAAAAUUUAAAAAUCUGUUAAAAAAAACAAAACAAAACUGGAGCUUUCCUUUGCUCAAUGGCUCAAUCUUUUAGACAGGAGUCCAACUGAGUCAAGGUACACCAAUAAUUCCUCCUGAUUCCCAUUUGGCCUCUCUUAUCCUUUUAGAAUUCUGCAACACUUGUGCUAUUCAGCUUUUUAGAUUCCAUGAAAUAUGGGUUUGGGGCACAUAAAAUGGAACAGGAUUUAACUUCCCUAAAGAUGAUGAAUUUGGUUUUGGACAUGUGAAUGAGAGAAGAGACCAUCCCACCACAUGGAAUUGGGCAACUAUGAGUUAACUGAGUUAUUAGGCCACUAUGGAUUAACAGGUAACCAUCCUCUUUGUAGAAUGCACCUGCGUAACCAUGACAACUUAUGUACUCUGUCACCAAAGGAGCAGAACAGACUCAGAAAGUCCUGCCGGAACUCUUUGCUCUCCCCCGAUGCACCCACUGCUUUGCUUUGUGUAAAUCCUGCUUGCUCUAUAUUCCCAGGGAAAUUCCAAUGGAAUUAAGCUUCAUAGAUGUAAAAAGAGGUACAUAAGGAAGUGCAAACUUCUAUUUGGGAUUCUCGAGACUGACAGGAGUCACUUGGUGAGCUGCUGGCCUCAUUAAAUGCCGCUUUUUGCUCCUAUCUUUGUGUUAAAGAGUUGUCUGUCUGGGGUCCUCACUGUUUUCUGCUUCAUUAAGUGUAGUUUCUGCAGCACAUCAGUGUGGGAUGUCCACCAGGCAGACGAACAGGCAUGUCUGAAGCUCUGAGAACAAGUGUGUAUCCCAAAUGGACACUUUUGUUCUCUCCAGCCACCCCCCUACCCCCCCAACCCAUGGGAGAGUAUGAAACCAAACACAGAGGACAUAGACAAAAAGCCAAAGAUGGGCUCUGGACAAAAACACAUUAAAAAGAUAAAGAGAAGAAGGAUCAGCAAAAGAAUCUGAGCAGGAAUAUCUAGCAAGGCAGAAUGAGAGCAUGAUGCUGAGGAAAUUGAAGAAAGGGAGAAUUGAAAGAAAAGUGAAAUGGUAACAAUAGCAAAUCUCUAAAGGAUCUACAACAUUCUGGACCCUUGAUGAGCAGCCACCAGCUUGGUAUACUUCUAUCAGUGCCCACUCCUGAGUCCGUAUUUCCCUGUUUCUGACCUCAGAAUGCGAACAUCACCGUUGUUACCAGUCUCUUUCAGGGUGAUUUGAUUUUAUCGAUCCUAACCCUGUAUUAGUCUGCUAUGCCUGAACAGGAUUAAGGACCCAGUGAAAGCGGAUCAGCAGCGAAGGGCCGAGCUCUUCUCCCCAGAAGCUGCUGUGAUUGUACCUCCAGGUACACAAGGAAGGCUGUGAGAGGACAUGCAGUCUCAGGAAGAGGAAGCUGGGCCUCAUCGAUCUAUGAGGGCCUUGUAGGAGGCCUGCGAGCAUGUGGAUGUAAGCUCAUGAAUGGCGUCUAUUCAGAUUUUCACAAAGCCUUUCACAGAGUUCCACACAAAAGAUUGUUUUAAAAUUGAGUCACUGUGGUCGGAUGGGGCCGGGUGUAGCACACAGAUGUUGCUUAGAGACGAGAAACAAUGGGUGAGGGUGAAAGGGCCUCUCGGGAGAAGAUGUCUGAACACUGGCACUCUCCUGGACUGUCCCUUGGUAGGAUUUUUAUGAGUUAUUUGGAGGAGGGAAACAAAAAUGACAUUGACCUUUUCGGCUUCUGCAAAGCCCAAGUGUACGGGGCUAAGCUGGAGUGUGUGAGGCUUUGUGAACAGGCAGGAAAUAUUUGACUUGGUCCUACACUCGCAAAAUAAGUUGUAGAACUUAGGGAAAACAAGGUUCAUAUACUCACUUACCAAACAGUUAUUGAGGAUCUGCUAUGUUGUCGAGGACCUGCAGGGUCACUGUGUGACACUGAGCCACAUGUCGAGGAGGACAUGAUUCAAGCUGCAUUUCUCUCUGCUGUUAGGGAACCUAAAUGGAACAAGAAAAUAUUUCCUGAAUCUUCACUUGAUCUUAGCCAAAAGGCCGAGAAGUGAUAUAUUUCCUGAAUCUUGAGGAAAGUAAAUUUAAGGAUGUAGUUCUAUUUUUUUUUUUUAGUUUUUAAAUUUUUUCCCCAUUAACUUUAUUGGUACAUUUUCGGUAUAAAAUACAGUUACAUUCAUCAUUGGGAUCUUGUACCAUUACAUGAGUCUCUUGGUUCUUAUUUUUUUUCCCCUUCCCCUGCCCUCCCUUCACCCCCUCCACCCUUCCCUAUUUGCAAAGACCUUUGUUUCCAUUUUUUUCCUCUUCUCAUAUUUUUUCCUUUCCCUUUUUUUCCCUUCCCCUACCCCUCCCAAUUCCCCUGCUCUUUUAGAC